rnacentral:RNase_P_RNA from 1 species
UGGUAAGACGCAUUAUCGCUCCGUUGCCUUGCGCGGCGGAGAGGAAAGUCCGGACAGGACAGAGCGCUGCGCUGUUGAAAAACAGAUGUCCCGUAAGGGUAUGGAAAUGUAACAGAAAACAACCGCCAUUCCGCGAGGAGUGGCAAGGGUGAAAAGGCGAGGUAAGAGCUCACCGCGUUUUGUGGCAACACAGACGGUCGGUACACCCCGCAGCCUGCAAGACCGCGUAUAUCGGCGUCAAGGGUUGCUCGCCCGUGCCGAGGGGUAGGUCGCAUCAGAUAAAUGAUAAUGGAUCACAGAAUCCGGCUUACAGUCAUGACCAUCAC